GGAAAACCAGAAAAAGUGUCCUUGGAAAGAUAAGCAGAACAGAAGAGCAAGUCACAGUUGAGUUGGGAUGAAAAGCUGCAGAGGGUAGCAAAGGUGUAUGUGAAUGAGGAACUGCAAACCUUUUAAAAGGGACUCAGAAUACCCCCACUGAGCCUGAAGGUGGUGAGCUGGGGGGAUCCCUGCAUGUCACCUCCCACUCCUAAUGCUGCACGGGUGUUUGCCAGCCCCUUGAGACCUCAGCAAAGGCAGUGUGUGUGGCUGCUUGGGGCUGUGCGAGCCCAGGACACGUGCUGGCUGCUCAGCUUCUGCUGCCCUCACCUGCCCUUUGGCACCAGGAGUGGGAGGGGUGGCCAUGCUGUCAUUGGGGUGUGACUGAUUCCCAUCGAAUGCUGGUGCUGGAAGGGGUUCCUGGGUCCUGCAGUUUAGGCACCACUGCUGCGGUAUCACUCCUCUCAGUCCUCAGCCCUGAAACCCUCAGCAGUGGCACUGAUGGAGAGCUGAGACCUUCUUUUUUGAUCACCAACAAUACCUUUCCUGGCUCCUUUCUCCUGUUCCCCCACCCUCUGUAUGCAUGCACUGCCUUUCUGCUCCAUCUUCUCAUCCCUUUUGUAGCAUCCCUAGUGCUGCAAAGCUGGAGAUCGGGUCUGCUCCCAGGUGGAGAUGGCUCCUGCACGCAGCUGCUGUUUUAAGGGUGAGCCCGCAGAGCUGGGCUGCAACAUGGAGCUGCAUUGAUGCCCACAGGGCUGGCUGGAGGGCUUAAGAAUCAAAGAGGAGUGCAGCAGGUCCUUCACCUGGAGCUGAGCUGUGUGUACACCUGCCUCUGUGGCUGAGAACCAUCCGUGUAGGAAACCAUUCUGCGGAGGGACAGAGGGAGACGGACAUGCAAAGCUCCCCCCAAGGCCGCUGUCUCCACUUGCCCUCAGAUCUGCUGUGGCUUUUGCUCCCUCCCAUCUGAGGCCGUGCACUGCUGCAGCAUUUAGCUGGAUCCUGGGUCACCUGCAAGAAGGAGGAGGACACUGCAGCUGAUGGGGCAGAGGCUCACAGCAGGGCUCCUUCCUACCUCCCAGACAAAGCCACAGAUGAAGGAGCUGAUGGCUGACGUGCACUGAGGAGACCUGCUCAGCUGCAGGAAUCAGCAAAGGAUUCUGCCUGACCAUGCAGGGCUCAGGGUCCCAUGGUGUGCACAGCAUCUGCAGUCCUGGGGACACCACUGCUGAGUCUGACCUUCAAAUCUCUCGAAGGAGGCACGUGGUGCAGAGGAGGGGAUGUGAGAGCUGCUCUGCCCCGGAUGGAUGGACUGUGUGAGGGUGCAUGAGGCAAGGUUUUGCAGCCUUUGUACUUUCUACAUCCCUUCUGGAAGCAAAGGUGCCAAAAUACUUCUUGAAAGGCUGUUCUUGCAGUGUUUCCCAGACCUUCCCGCACCAGGAAAUGCCGGAAAUCGUGGGAGCAGGGCUGCUCUCUGGAGAGCCUUGACACAAGUUUUGCAGACCCAGAAGAUCUGGAGAAGCCUGAGCUUCCCGAAGCAUGGACUUCUCUCCAAAGCCAACAGGAACUCGGAAACUUUGGGGCCUCUCGGUUUUGCUGCUCUGUAGACCCUGAACCUUUAAACUCGACCUUUGUUUUAUAUUUAUAUGUUGAAGAAU
ensembl:lncRNA